GGGGAAUCUUGCGCAAUAGGGGAAACCCUGACGCAGCGACGCCGCGUGCGGGAAGAAGGCCUUCGGGUUGUAAACCGCUUUCAGGAGGGACGAAGCUACUCGGGUGAAUAGCCCAGAGGGUGACGGUACCUCCAGGAGAAGCCCCGGCUAACUACGUGCCAGCAGCCGCGGUAAUACGUAGGGGGCAAGCGUUGUCCGGAUUUAUUGGGCGUAAAGAGCGUGUAGGCGGCCAGGCAGGUCCGUUGUGAAAACUCGAGGCUCAACCUCGAGACGUCGAUGGAAACCGUCUGGCUAGAGUCCGGAAGAGGAGAGUGGAAUUCCUGGUGUAGCGGUGAAAUGCGCAGAUAUCAGGAAGAACACCUAUGGCGAAGGCAGCUCUCUGGGACGGUACUGACGCUGAGACGCGAAAGCGUGGGGAGCGAA
rnacentral:rRNA from 1 species